CCUACGGGAGGCAGCAGUAGGGAAUGUUGCGCAAUGGGCGAAAGCCGGACGCAGCAACGCCGGGUGAGGGAGACGUACUUCGGGGUGUAAAGAUCUGUCAGUGGGGACGAAACUUGACGGUACCCACAGAGGAAGCACCGGCUAACUCAGUGCCAGCAGCCGCGGGAAUACGGGGGGGGCAAGCGUUAUCCGGAAUCAUUGGGCGUAAAGAGUGCGUAGGCGGCACGUAAAGUCUGGUGUUAAAGGCAGAGGCUCAACUGCUGUACGGCACUGGAUACUUGCGAGCUAGAGUGCGGUAGAGGUAAGGGGAAUUCCUGGUGUAGCGGUGAAAUGCUUAGAUAUCAGGAGGAACAUCAGUGGCGUAGGCGCUUUACUGGACCGUAAUUGACGCUGAGGAACGAAAGCCAGGGUAGCAAAUAGGAUUAGAUACCCGUGUAGUC
rnacentral:rRNA from 1 species